AGAGUUUGAUCCUGGCUCAGGGUGAACGCUGGCGAUGUGCCUAAGACAUGCAAGUCGAGCGGGAUUUGUUGUUUACACAGAGUAUUUCCAUACAGUGGGAAUUUCUGCGUAAAUAAUAAGUUUAGCGGCAAACGGGUGAGUAAUAAGUACAAAUAUGCCUCUUUGUAGGACAUAGCCCACCGAAAGGUGGAGUAAUUUCCUAUAGUACCUCAGGGUUAAAGACGUAAGUCGCGAAGAGAAUAGUGUACUAACUACCAGCUAGUUGGUGAGGUAAUGGCUCACCAAGGCGAUGACGGUUAUCGGCUCUUAGCGGAGAGUCCGACACAAUGGGACUGAGACACGGCCCAUACUUCUACGGAAGGCAGCAGUUAGGAAUUUUGCGCAAUGGACGAAAGUCUGACGCAGCGACAUCGCGUGAGGGAUUAAGGCCUUCGGGUUGUAAACCUCUUUUUGGGAGCCAUGAAGGCGCCCAGAAUAAGCAACUACUAACUACGUGCCAGCAGUCGCGGUAAUACGUAGGUUGCAAGCGUUACCCGGUUUUAUUGGGCGUAAAGAGUCUGUAGGUGGUUUUCUAAGUCUUAUUUCAAAGACUCCGACUUAAUCGGAGAAAGGGGUAGGAUACUGGAAAGCUGGAGUUAUAUCGGGGUUACUGGAAUUUGUGGUGUAGGGGUAAAAUCCGUGGAUACCACAAAGAACACCAAGCGCGAAGGCGGGUAACCAGAUAUACACUGACACUGAGAGACGAAAGCUAGGGUAGCAAAUCAGAUUAGAGACCUGAGUAGUCCUAGCCGUAAACAUUGUCUGUUAAUUUUUCGGGAUUUAUCCUGGGAGAUGCAAGCUAACGCGUUAAACAGACCGCCUGGGGAGUAUAGCCGCAAGGCCGAAACUCAAACGAAUUGGCGGGGAGGCGCACAACCAGUGGAGCAUGUGGUUUAAUUCGAUACGAAGCGAUAAACCUUACCCGGGUUUGAAAUGUACCUGCAAACCUCUAGAAACAGAGGAAUCUUUCGAAGGUGGUACACAGCUGUUGCAUGGCUGUCGUCAGCUCGUGACGUGAGUUGUUCUCUUAAGUGAGGUAACGAGCGCAACCCCUAUCGUAUGUUACUGUAUCAUACGAGACUGCCCAGCAUUAUUUUGUUGGGAGGAAGGAGGGGACGACGUCAAGUCAUCAUGAUGCUUAUAUCCGGGGCUACACACAUCCUACAAUGGGUUGUACAGAGGGUUGCAAUACCGCAAGGUGGAGCUAAUCCCUAAAACAAUCCUCAGUUGGGAUUGCAGGCUGAAAUUCGCCUGCAUGAACUUGGAAUUGGUAGUAAUCGCAAAUCAGCAGAUUGCGGUGAAUACGUUCUCGCCUCUUGCACACACUGCCCGUCAAAUCAGCAAAGUUGAGGGUACCUGAAGUUUUACUUUUUGUAGAACCAAGGUAAAUUCAGCGAUGAGGGUUAAGUCGUAACAAGGUAGCC
rnacentral:rRNA from 1 species